GACUGAGCAUCAGAAUGGGGAAGAAAGAGAUUCCAUCUUUGUUGACAGACAUGAAAAAGAUUCUCACCAAUAAUAAUACCACCAAAGAUCUCACUGUCCGUUAGGAUGGAAGUGAAGGUGAAGCUGUACCUUGUAAACCUUCAGAAGUGAAAUUGGGGAAUGAUGGCACUACCUCUGUCUCACCUCAUUGUUGGGAGACUGCAAAAGCACAACCUACAGCCAGUGGGAUGGCACGAGUGCUGCUAAUGGGCCUCUUUAGUGUUGAUGUUCUCCUGAAAUCCAACCUGACUGGAGGGCUCAACAAGGUCAAUCCUACUGCAGAGCGACGCCAGCCUCUCGGUCUCUCGAUGGGAAAAACUACAAGCUUUACUUGCUGCUGGCAAAAAGUAGUAAAGCAAGGACCAGAACAUAUUUCCUGUUCCACGCCAGACCACCUUUAACAGGCCCCUGGACAGUCUGGCAGUGGGGGCUACAUGUCCAACCCAAAACAGUUAGGAGCCCAAUAUUUAUUCAAUUUAACUGUUUUUCUCGGUCUCUUUGAAAGAUAUUGUCUUUAGUUGUUUACUAAAAUAAAUAAGCAAGUGUUUUAUUGGUA